UCCAUGAUAUCCACAAGUUUCUUUUCGACGUUAUGUUACUGUCAUGUGUGAUAACUACUCGGCAAACGAUCAUCGAUUGAUCGUGCCCGAUGUGCUACCAUCUGGCUUGUGCCUGCUGUCAGCUACCACAAGCUAAUCACAAAAGCCGGCCUCAAAAUAUAAAGCACACAUAACACUGCGUAUAGAUAAUCCUCGUCUGCAACUCUGAAAGUUUUGUCUGACAAAAGAAACAGUUUUUUUCGCAGAUCCCCUAUUUGUUCCGGGAAACUCCUUCCUUCGAUCCUUUUUUAGGGCGCCCCAAGCCAGACUAGCAUACAUUGGUAAAUCCACACUUCCAGCUGCUUCUAUUUUUUACUCCACUUCAGUUGACAAGCCGUCACAAACACGUAAACAGCACGCGACUGUCAGCCGUUCGAGUUCUCCCAGGUGAUCUCAGUUGUUGACUGUCUUGGCUAGACUUUGUUCUAGCGUUUUCUGCGUACUGCCAGUGUAACUUGUAAAAGGACAUCCUAUAUGUUUUCAAAAAUGUCAGCGUAUAUGUGUGCGACUUAGCAUGGUUUCUGGUAAGCGUUCGUGCCCAAUGCUCGGAAAGUCAGCGCAACGACGACAGGCGGUGGAUAGCGACAAUGACGAAAAUGAAGACAACGACAAGAUCUGCUUCGUGUGUUUUUAAAACUAGAUUCCUAGUUUUAGCGGUCUCAGUUCUAGUGAAUAGUUACUGGCGAAUAUUCACCGAUACCUCAUCUAGAAGCUCUAAACCUAUGAGCCGCGGCCGAUGGUCGGUGGUAUGCACUGGCAAGUCAGAAAUUAUCUGGACCAGAAUAAGAUCCCCCUCUUGGAAUUGCCUAAAUUUUGGGACCGGUGAAACUUGUGAACUUCCUCAACUUGUGAAGCACAGCAUCGAAGGUGACGAACUCAAAGCGACUAAAGCCAAGCAGAGCCUGAAGAAAAAAAUACCUCGGGUGGCAGCAGACAGCGAGAUUCAUUCUCGAAACUGCACACAAUGUAAACGACGCAAAUUCCGAGUUUUCAGGUAUAGGGACACAUUGUGCCUAAUGAGGAGGGAAAACCGAAAAUGGUCACGGACGGUUGAUCUGUAGGCGCUUUUUAUAUCUUUUACUAUAGUAUUCCUCAAUUAAGUUCUGAGCCGACAGAAAGUGAAAAUCAAGGGGAAACGUACAUUAGUCGGUAUAGAUUUCGGCAAAAUCAGGUUACACCCCUCGUGUUUGAGUCCGACAUUACAUUGGAUAUCCAUGUAUAAUUCGGCCCCAGCCGUAUGCGUCGUAACAUCGAAUCCACCUCUUGAAAAAAAAAGCGGAAAUCGCUUAGGAAGCAUUACACCACUUUAAAGAGAGAAAGGAUAAUACACGCCAAACGUUUAAGAGAGCGCACCUUGAUCGGGACCAAAGAAAAUGCUUUUUAAAAAGUUUCCUCAAAAUCGCUAAAUAAAGAAAACUAAACUAAUAUGUAAUAGGCGAACUGGGAAAGAAGCGCACCUCCAGUCAGAAUUUAAUAUGUUUCUACUAAGUAAGCUGCUAAUGCGAAAAUGAACAUCCUAGUUUAGUAUAAAUAUGGGCCCGAUUUAAUCGCGUUUGUUGUAAGUUAGGAUUACCGUUGUGCUUAUGAUGUUCAGGACUACUGAGAGCAGAAGGUGUGCUUUGCUUCUCUUCACAGAACACCUGCAAGUUCACAAAACUGGGCUAUCUUUGAAUGUAACAAAAUUUUCUAGCUGUGAAUCAGAAAUGAAGACGAACUUGACUUUAAAUGUACAUGUUUUUUUUACUUAUUAGUUUAUCGUAGUGUCGUGUUGUUGUGGCUGUUAUUGUCAGCACUGUUCUCAGUCACCAGGGCACUGUUAUAAAUGGAUACCCAUUUGUCAAGCCUUCCGUUGCUGUUUAUUAUUCUGCAGACCAGUGUAGACACGUAUCCCGUUGGAAUUGUUUCGAGCAACGGUUUACGAAGAACGAACGCGGAAAAACGAACAGGAAGUAGGUAGAAUAUCAACUUUUGCGGGCCAAAAUUCUAAACACUCAUGUUAAUACACAUUCAUCGAUACCUGAUUCUGGGAGCCAACAGUGACGCCAAACCAUUAAUUCACAUUGUAUUACCGUAUCGGGCCGAAUCAACAAUUCCUAUAUAUAUAUAAUGUAAUGAAAAUUUAACACUGUACCUUUUAAAGUCUCGUUAAAAUGAGCCAGCCAACAUAAUGGAAAAUCAGGCAAGUAAGGAAACUAGGGCAGGUUGGUUCGAAUUAGUGACAAAAAACCGAGUGUGACACGUUCAAAACUUCCUCAUACAUACUUUUACAAACUUGUACCAUUAUGUGCUAAACUUGGCAGAUACUAGCCGUCUAUCAGAGUCGGAUACCAAUCACUUCUUUCUCGACAAAAUAAGUGUUUUUCAAAGUAUACCGAUUCACCUCAAUAAUGACCCCCCAACCUAAGCUCUUUUCUGAAUCACCAGCCCAUGCACCCCACCAGCAUAAGUUGCAAUUGAGGAACGCAAUAUAAUUCUGUAUGCACUCCAUCGCUUUCUAUUGAAGCAGUGGCCAGCUACAUAGAAAGCACAAUAUCCAUACUUGUUUCUUCUCGGAUCGUUCUAUAACAUGCCCUCAACUUAUGAGAAUGAGAGCUAAAAUUCAUUAACUGCAAGCAGUUGGCUAGGCAGCUGAACUAGCCUGGAGAAAGAAAUUGGCACAUGAACUUUAUCACAGCGAGCAGAGCUUUAUUUGAGGUAUAGUAUCCCGAAAUGAAGCCUGUACAAACUAAUCUCUCCUAUGGGCACGAAUUGUAAAGCUCUGCUUCUAAAUCGAAUCGGAGGAAUUCUAUUUGAGCAGUUCGGUUUUAAAGCUAGCCUUUUUUAGAAUUUUAGCAGGAACACAAUUCUCCAUUUACUGGGAAAGUAGAGUUUUGGACUAAUGUUAUAAAUGGUCCUUAUGUCCUUUUUUUCGCUCAGGUAUGCUAGUGUUGGAGGGUCCCAUAUAUGGUCUUUUUUUAGGGUUAUGAUUCGCGUAUUUCUAUUUGAUUUCGGUCAGCACCGUGUACUUUCAUCAUACUUCAAUUGAACAUUCGUCUGGCAUUGUUGGUAACUUUUCUUUCUAUUUUUUUUUUUAUUUCUUUCUCCCAACGUAAGUGCACAAUAUUGGUAAUGUCUAGAAGACAUUAUACUUUCGACCGCAAUCGAGAGUAAAAACCAAUAAGCUCGGCUGUUUUAUAGAUGCUCUUGCCCGCCUGCUUCCCGAGUUCGAGAGAAGCCAAAAAGUGAAGUAGAAAAAGCGUUCAUAAGCAGUUGAAAUGUGUGCCGGUCUCUUACGGAUCGCAACUCUCUCUCUAUCAUCUUGUGAUUUUUUUCAACUAUCAUAUAGUUUUUGUCCUCUCGUCUGUCAAGAUGUCAUCAGCUGUGAGUAUAUUUAUAGGGCUUCUACUUUCGUUUCCACCAAAGUUGUUUCUCAUUUCAUUUGUCAAGCGUCAGCAACAGGAAGUAACACUGGAGGAAAUCUACCACCUCGGUAUCGGCAACAGUCUCUGUUUCCAGCUUCGAAACUGAACAUUUCUGAUGAUGAGCUGCUGAUCAAUCUGACGUAUGGCUGAAUGAGUUCGGGUUUGUCGCGGCACCGUCUGACGCAUCUGCGUCUUAUAUCCUUCUUAUUUUUUUCGUUUCUGUUUCUUUUUUACAAUCGACUAUACCAUCUGAAUUGGACAUUUUUCUAUUGUUGCGGUAUUUUUCUGUUGGUUGAUAACGUUAUACUGGGUAGCAAUAG